GAUGAACGCUGGCUACAGGCUUAACACAUGCAAGUCGAGGGGAAACGACGGGGAAGCUUGCUUCCCCGGGCGUCGACCGGCGCACGGGUGAGUAACGCGUAUCCAACCUGCCUCUGACUGAGGGAUAACCCGUCGAAAGUCGGCCUAAUACCUCAUGGCAUCGUCUGCGGGCAUCCAACGACGAUUAAAGAUUUCAUCGGUCAGGGAUGGGGAUGCGUCUGAUUAGCUUGUUGGCGGGGUAACGGCCCACCAAGGCUACGAUCAGUAGGGGUUCUGAGAGGAAGGUCCCCCACAGUGGAACUGAGACACGGUCCAAACUCCUACGGGAGGCAGCAGUGAGGAAGAGUGGUCAAGGGGCGGGAGCCUGAACCAGCCAAGUAGCGUGCAGGAGGACGGCGCUAUGGGUUGUAAACUGCUGUUAUGCGGGGAGAAAGUGAGGGACGUGUCCUUCAUUGCAGGUACCGGAUGAAUAAGGACCGGCUAAUUCCGUG
rnacentral:rRNA from 1 species